GCGCCCGUACCUCAGUUGGCAGAGAGGUGGGACGGUACCCCACGAUCCCGGGUUCAAGUCCCGGUGGUCGCU